CGGCGUGGAUUAGGCAUGCGAGUCGCGCGAGAAUGUAGCAAUACAGGAAAGCGGCGAAAGGGAGAGGACAACAUGGGAAUCUGCCCGGGGGUCGAGGAUAGCGUCGGGAAACUGACGGUAAUACUCGAUAAUGUUUACGGACCAAAGGUUUACUGCCCCUGGAUGAGCCCAUGCCCCAUUAGCUAGUUGGCGGUGUAAUAGACCACCAAGGCGAUGAUGGGUAGCUGGUGUGAGAGCACGACCAGCCUCACUGGCACUGAGACACUGGCCAGACACCUACGGGUGGCUGCAGUCGAGAAUCUUCGGCAAUGGACGAAAGUCUGACCGAGCGACGCCGCGUGCGGGACGAAGGCCUUCGGGUUGUAAACCGCUGUCGAGGGGGAUUAAGGGCAACUUGAAAGAACCCUGGAGGAAGGAGAGGCUAAGCUCGUGCCAGCAGCCGCGGUAAGACGAGCUCUCCAAACGUUAUUCGGUAUCACUGGGCUUAAAGAGUUCGUAGGCGGCUUUGCAGGUGGGGUGUGAAAGCCCUCGGCUCAACCGAGGAAUUGCGCCCCAAACCGCAAGGCUUGAGGGAUAUAGGGGUAAGCGGAACAGAUGGUGGAGCGGUGAAAUGCAUUGAUAUCAUCUGGAACACCGGUGGCGAAGGCGGCUUACUGGAUAUUUUCUGACGCUGAGGAACGAAAGCUAGGGUAGCGAACGGGAUUAGAUACCCCGGUAGUCCUAGCCGUAAACGAUG
rnacentral:rRNA from 1 species